GGGUGACACUGCCGAAAUGCGCCGCCUGGGUGGGGAAGAUGGAGCCGCAGAUUCCGUGCCAAGACGCCGUGUCUUACUUGGCCUCCUGGAAUAUGUGACUACAGUGAAGUCUUACCUGCAAUCCCAGCAUCAUCCUGAGUUGUCUGAGGCCUGUCUGGCCGGCUGGUCUGUCGGACUGUUGAAAAAGUGGAGCAAACAUUAUUACCAUGCUUUGUGUAAAAAUUAUAACUGCAAAGCCUUAGUGUACUGUAACCAUCUAUUAUGUAUUCUAAAUUAAACUAAUUUCUGCUUAAGAUCUUCGUGCUUCCUUAAUUUGUGGUGUAUAUCAAAAUGUACAUGGUGUUGCACCAAAUAAAUCUGUUACAUUUGAGAA